rnacentral:lncRNA from 12 species
UAGGAAACUCUUGACUUGAAAGCUGUGUCAUAAUCAAGGGACUGAGAUUGUGAUCUUUCCAAAGAAAGCCUCUGGCUGUGCUGUUGACUCUCCAGUGGUUUCUCCAAGUACCCACAUUUCCCAACAUCAUCUAGCCCGGAUUCUGAUCUGGCACCUCCUGAUUGGCGCCCUCUGCCUAUAUAAGGUCAGGAUGUGCAACGCUGGAGUCAGAGUCCUACCUUCUCCUGAGCUCUGACGCUUUCCUCUCUGUGCUCCCUGCUGAUCCAUUCACCAGCAUGAAGGUCUUGGCGUUGAUGGUCCUGGUGGCAGUCUCCACCUUCCUGGUCUCAGGCCAGGAUACAACAGAUGCUCCGUCUGAUAGCUCUAGUGCUGCCCCUGAAGCCACCACUGAGGCCCCGGCCACCACAGCUGAUGCCACCACUGAGGCCCCGGCCACCACAGCUGAUGCCGCCACUGAGGCCCCGGCCACCACAGCUGAUGCCGCCACUGACGCUCCGGCCACCACAGCUGAUGCCGCCACUGAGGCCCCGGCCACCACUGCUGCGGCCACCACUGCAGCUCCUACCACCAAGACCAGCAAGACUAAAUUUAUCACUAAGAGGCCCACCCCUGGCUGGCUUAAGAAAAUACUGAGAUGGAAUUAGCCUUGGCCUUCUGCGUUUGUUCCUGCUGGACUCAGCCACUUGUCUCUUCAUUUGACUACUUCAACCACUUACCAUGUGUACCAACUAUCUCUUAACCCCAAUAAAUGUAUCUGUUUUCAAAUAAAAAAUAACA